AAAGGAUAAGCUCUGGAUAGCCUGUCUGACGGCAGUCCAGUGACGAAAACCAAAGCCAGACUAAGCGUGUAGAAAGCUCUCUGGUGCGGUGUUUGGACGGCGGUUCGAGUCCGCCCAUCUCCACGA
rnacentral:tmRNA from 1 species